GUGGGGAAUAUUGGACAAUGGGCGAAAGCCUGAUCCAGCCAUGCCGCGUGUGUGAAGAAGGUCUUCGGAUUGUAAAGCACUUUAAGUUGGGAGGAAGGGCAGUAAGUUAAUACCUUGCUGUUUUGACGUUACCGACAGAAUAAGCACCGGCUAACUUCGUGCCAGCAGCCGCGGUAAUACGAAGGGUGCAAGCGUUAAUCGGAAUUACUGGGUGUAAAGCGCGCGUAGGUGGGUUUGUAAGUUGGAGGUGAAAUCGCCGGGCUCAACCUGGGAACUGCCUCCAAAACUGCAUGACUAGAGUACGGUAGAGGGUAGUGGAAUUUCCUGUGUAGCGGUGAAAUGCGUAGAUAUAGGAAGGAACACCAGUGGCGAAGGCGACCACCUGGACUGAUACUGACACUGAGGUGCGAAAGCGUGGGGAGCAAACAGGAUUAGAAACCCCGGUAGUCC
rnacentral:rRNA from 1 species